rnacentral:rRNA from 1 species
GACGAACGCUGGCGGCGUGCUUAACACAUGCAAGUCGAACGGAGAAUUUAUUUCGGUAAAUUCUUAGUGGCGAACGGGUGAGUAACGCGUGGGCAACCUGCCCUUCAGAUGGGGACAACAUCCCGAAAGGGGUGCUAAUACCGAAUACGAUCACGCUGCCGCAUGGCGGUGUGAUGAAAGAUGGCCUCUAUUUAUAAGCUAUCGCUGAAGGAUGGGCCUGCGUCUGAUUAGCUAGUUGGUGGGGUAACGGCCUACCAAGGCGAUGAUCAGUAGCCGGUCUGAGAGGAUGAACGGCCACAUUGGGACUGAGACACGGCCCAAACUCCUACGGGAGGCAGCAGUGGGGAAUAUUCCGCAAUGGACGAAAGUCUGACGGAGCAACGCCGCGUGAGUGAUGAAGGUUUUCGGACUGUAAAACUCUGUUGUUUAGGACGAAAGUGCCUGUUGCAAAUAGUUGCAGGUAUUGACGGUACUGAACGAGGAAGCCACGGCUAACUACGUGCCAGCAGCCGCAGUAAAAC